UUGAUAUAGCCUUCUUGAUUUCGUCGUAGGUAACAAUCCAUUAUCUUCUAACAAGACACAAGGGGGUGGGCGUUCGGAUAAUAUUUUAAUUUGUCUUUAUGUUUCUGAGAAAAUUUUGUCUUUAGUCUGUCAGUUAGUUUUUUUUUCUUCUCUCUUUUUAGUUUGAUAGUAAUUAAAAUAAAUAAUGAUUUGAUAAUUUUAAGAGUAGUCAAAUUUAGUAGGGGAAUUACAAAUGUAAUAUGCUAUGAUUGAAUUAUUUUUAUGAUUAUAGUUGUAUAUGUACAUAAAAGGGGGUUGCGUGCGAGAAAAUGAACUACUUCUUACCUUACUUGUUGGAUUAGCUUCUACAUGGAACCUUGGGACAUAACUCGGUGUUCUGUUCACGCUUGUGUAAGAAUCACCUGAAACUCUAACAGAUUUAUGACUCUUGCAACCCAACAAUAAACCACCACUGCUAGGUUUCCGACGGUUGGAUUUGGCGAUUUUAGGGUUUCGAGUAGCCUGGAAAGACCGGUUUUCGACAGGACUUGUAGCACCUUUAGACAUAACAGAUUAAUCCACCACACUUGCCAUUACUACGCUCUACGCUAAGCUUACCUCACUUGGCGCAUAACAAUCCGAUGACUCUGGUUCGCUGCUUUCUUGCCUUGCAAGAAACGGUUUUGCCAUCCAUGUUAGGCGUUUGAUCUCAAAGAGAUCUGAACUUAAAUCGCUCACUGUCCCAUCUUCCUCUGGUUUUGAAGAGCUAGAGUGAUCCCAUGGAAGUUGCUUUCGAAUGAUUCUCUUCUCAAUGAGAGGAGAUCCAAAUAUUUCCAGAGACUUCCUUUGUUUUAAUAUUUCUUCUUGUUGUUGCUGAUGAAGCUUCAUCUCUGAGCUCAGAUUUUCAGAGAAUCUCAUUUGCGUCUUGAUCUUCUGCAGACCAGAGGUUCCUGUCUGAACGUUGACAACAUCCACUGAACUCCAGUUAGAACAAACGCAUCUGCUGUUGAGUCAAGAGAGAUAUGCGAAGAAGAUCUUGUGUGAAGCGGGGAUGGACGACUGUAACUCGGUGCAAGCACCAAUGGAGUUUGGAUUAAAGCUCACUAAAACAACGGAAGAGCAAUGCAUCGACGCUACAGAGUAUCCUCGUCUGAUCGGAUGUCUUAGGUAUCUCAUUCAUACGCGUCCGGAUCUUGCGUUCUCUGUGGGACUUCUGAGUCGUUACAUGCAUGAACCAAAGACUUCUCAUGGCUCAGCUUUGAAGCAAGUCCUCCGAUACUUAAAGGGUACAUUGUCGCAGGGGCUUGUGUAUAAGAAAUCAGAACAAAGACGUCUUGUAGGGUAUAGUGAUAGCGGACACUGCAUAGACGAAGAUGAUGGUAAAAGUACCACUGGACAUAUGUUCUAUCUGACCGAGUGUCCAAUCUCAUCGCAUCUGAAACAGGUGAUUCGAGAAAGAUCAAAUUCUCUGUAUGACCUUCCACGUCCACGUCCUAUGUUGUAAAAACGUCCACCUCUUCCCCUAUUUCUAAAGUCUCCAUUAUAGCUUCGAUGUGUUUGUUGCCCUUCCGUGUUCGAGUAUAGUAGUUUGCUUUGAGUCUCCUGUUUGUCUUCUUCAUCUUCUCCUACUCUUUCUUCAUACGCUUUAAGACGCCCUAUGAUGUCUUCGAAACUAGUAGUUUUAAGAUCUAAGACUUGCUUGAGCGAGGCAACUAUAUGUAUAUAUUUUUUGCAUGGAAGAGAUGAAAGAAACUUCUUCACCAACUUCGACUCUUCUAUGAUUUCACCCACUACCAUUUGUCCCAUACAAUCUCUCUCUCUUCAUCUCUCUUUUGAUAAAUGGGUUUUGCGGUUUGGCUUGACAUCAACGCUAACAUCCAGACUAACUCCACCAUACACAUACACUAAAAAGAAAAAGCAAAUAAAAAGUAAACAUUUUGGAUGAAUAAAAGCAUAAAAUAUAAGAAAAUUUCGAUAUAAAAUCAUUAUCAGCAACCCUUUUGACAAACAAAAAAAAAGAUACACAAAAGUUUAACAUUUUUAUUUGUUGGUAAUAGAAAAAGAAACCCUAUUUGAAGUUGACAAAUAAACAAGAAAGUAAAACCUAUUUUCAAUGGUUUGCCCACUUUCAUAUGCUUCGCUUUAUUCUAUCCCACAUUAUUGUGGCGGGUUGUUCCAUUAAUUUAUGUGAAGCAAAGUGUAACUCAAUUGAUAUUUCUAUGGAGAAAAACAAACAGAUUUGCAACUAAAAAUAAACUCAUGCUAUUUCAUUAAAAUUUUAAAUACCAAUCUUUCUAAAUUUGCCAACAUUGUCAUAUACAGUAUAAUCUAAUAAACAAUAAAUAUCAUCAUAGUGUAAUGCAUUUGCAGUCUUCUACCAUUAUUAAUCUGGGCUCUUAGGGAGAAGAUCUUAGCUUCGGCUAAAAAUCGUUUCUUAACUUUUAAUUAAGAAAAACUAAGAACCGUCUCUUAAAUAAGAGAUAUAAGAGCCGGUUCUUACCCGAAAAGUGAAAAAAAAACAAAACAAAACAAAAAAAUGUCAAAUCAUGAGUUAAGAAUCUCAAAUUAAGAACCCGGGUUAAUCAUGCUCUUCUGUAAGGUAUACAGAUGAAAUCUAUAACAAUAAAGUAUAUUAUUCUCCGUUCUCCACGUAAUCAAGUCAUAUGGGCAAAAACGUGACACGUGUACAAUUUUCUUUUAAUUAUCAGAACCUGUUUUCUCGGCGACUCAACACAUAAUUUAUUGGGUCAAUCUUACUGGGCUUUAGAAACUUUCAAAUACCCAUUCUGGCAACAGCCCACGACCCUUCCAACCCUAGCCUGGUCGUCACAGUCCAGCAAAGAUUCCUCCAUCACCCUCAUCGUUUCCAUCGGGAAAUUCAUCAGUCUCAGCAGCUCACUGUUACGGUCUAAUAACGUCGACCCAUUCUAGAUCAUUCAAUUCUGUUCUUUACUCCUUUCUUUAUGAGAGAUGAUGUACGAGCUGUUUGGUUGCUAAUGUUGUUGGACAACCCCAUCAUGGAGUUCAGCCAGGCUAUACGUGCUUUAAAAGAAGCCACUUGCUGUGGAAGUUUGAGCUCACGCUGGCUGGAUGCACAUUUAUUCAUCUCAAAUAUAUAUUUUUCUCUGCAGGGAAAGGGUUUCUUUAGCUCAUGGAAAAAAGCACGAGUAAACGAUCAGUUAACCGGAUGGUUCUGCAUUGACGGUUCUGUAUUGGGUGCAUGAUAAUAUGAUCAAGAUAGAUGAAAGAGUGUCUCUUUCUGCAGCUGGAGAUGGUUAUAUUGCAAAGGUAACUUCCACCAAGGAAACCCUAAUGAUUCAUUUAUACAGAGAAAAAAAAUCCUAUAGGUUACAUCUACAACCUCAUGAGUCAAACUGUGUACCUUCUCAAUCCUUGAUGAUUGAAAAAUGGGGGACCCACACUUGCAAGGAAGGUGCUUAUCCAACCUUUUAAUAACUUUUUUUCUAAAAGACAUGAGAUACAUUUUGACAUAUAGGUUGGAAAACCAGAUGUUGAGCUACAAGAACACAUUAUUUUCCCUUAACCUGCAAUGUUUUCUAUUUUUGUGUUUUAUUUUUACUGAUUUCGUGUCUUUGUAUUUGAAUCACAUGCAAUAAGAAAAGAGUUUUGGCUACCAGCCUAAGGAACGGAUUUCGGUUCACCGCCUUUCUCCAGUAUCAUUGCUGAUUGCAGCUGCGAUUUUGGAACUGUUAAGUUUGCGUAAAGAUCAAGAAGCUGCUCAUAAGUAGUUUCAAAGAAACCAGUGUAUCCAUCUUCUAAGCCGGGAAAAGACUUAUACAAGCUGAACCAAAGAAGCACAUUCCUCGUAUAGCUCCAGAGGUUUUGAAUGUGCAAGAGAAGGAUGAAAAGGUAGAUGGAGAUGCAUGUAUCUAUGAGCAAGUUUUCCAUAGUAAGGAUGAGGACAUGAGGCAAGCCAUGAACAAAUGAAUCAUUCGUGAACUGAUAAAUCUCUCUCUGUCUUAUUUUUAACAGCUUAUCUUUUUGUCAUUAAUUUUGACAGAGAAUGUACUUUCUCAGCUGAUUUUGGGUUUGACAGGCAGACUUGAAAAUGAUAGAGCUGUCUACAGAGGAGAAAAAGCUAGGGACUAAAUACAUGAAGAAUAUUUUGUCUUAAAAUUAAGUUAAAGUGAUUCCUUGGUUAAAUCAUUGUCACAUGAAAGAUGUGUUCAUAGAAGUGUAUGCAGUGUUAUCUUUCUUUGUCGAACAUCUCUAUAGACUAUCAUUUUCAACUACUACCAAAGUAAAACUUGGAAGCUAAGAGAAAAAUUGUACAUGCUAUAAUUCAAUAAAGUUUUAGAUAUUAUCCAUUAUUUAUGUUUUU